GACCGCUCCCAGCGAGCCAAGGCCAUACGGACAGCCGGGUCCACUGCCGA
rnacentral:sRNA from 1 species